AACGAACGCUGGCGGCAUGCCUAACACAUGCAAGUCGAACGAGACCUUCGGGUCUAGUGGCGCACGGGUGCGUAACGCGUGGGAAUCUGCCAUUCGGUUGGGAAUAACUGAGAGCAAUUUCAGCUAAUACCUUAUAAUGUCUUCGGACCAAAGCUUUAUCGCAGAGGGAUGAGCCCGCGUAGGAUUAGGUAGUUGGUGGGGUAAUGGCCUACCAAGCCGACGAUCCUUAGCUGGUCUGAGAGGAUGAUCAGCCACACUGGGACUGAGACACGGCCCAGACUCCUACGGGAGGCAGCAGUGGGGAAUAUUGGACAAUGGGCGAAAGCCUGAUCCAGCAAUGCCGCGUGAGUGAUGAAGGCCUUAGGGUUGUAAAGCUCUUUUACCCGGGAUGAUAAUGACAGUACCGGGAGAAUAAGCUCCGGCUAACUCCGUGCCAGCCGCCGCGGUAA
rnacentral:rRNA from 1 species